UACGUAGGGGGCAAGCGUUGUCCGGAAUUAUUGGGCGUAAAGAGCGUGUAGGCGGUCCGGUAAGUCGGCUGUGAAAGUCCAGGGCUCAACCCUGGGAUGCCGGUCGAUACUGCCGGACUAGAGUUCGGAAGAGGCGAGUGGAAUUCCCGGUGUAGCGGUGAAAUGCGCAGAUAUCGGGAGGAACACCUAUGGCGAAGGCAGCUCGCUGGGACGUUACCGACGCUGAGACGCGAAAGCGUGGGGAGCAAACAGG
rnacentral:rRNA from 1 species